rnacentral:rRNA from 1 species
UACAGAGGGUGCAAACGUUGCUCGGAAUCAUUGGGCGUAAAGCGCACGUAGGCGGUCCAGCAAGCGGGGAGUGAAAGCCCUCGGCUUAACCGAGGAAGUGCUUUCCGAACUACUGGACUUGAGUACUGAAGAGGGUCGCGGAAUUCCCGGUGUAGAGGUGAAAUUCGUAGAUAUCUGGAGGAACACCGGUGGCGAAGGCGGCAUCCUGGACCAAUACUGACGCUGAGGAGCGAAAGCCAGGGGAGCAAACGGG